UCCCAAGAUCCUUGAAAGCCUUGAAAAACAGCCAAAAGACACAAGGUGAAAUAAUGCAACCCAUUGCAGUGCCAAUUAGUUGGCUCACAAACAUGGACCGUGGGGAAGAAAGGGUUAGAUAACCAGUCUUGAAAUCUUGAGAGAGGUCGGAGGCUGUGGAGACGAUAUUCAUCAUGACUCCACAGGCUGCUAGUCCUGCAAGAACUCCACCAUGAGAGGCACCAGCCCAUGCUCCAAUUGCAAAAAUUGCAAGCGUCCCAUAGGAGUAAGCAAGGGACCAAUCAGUGAGGCCACAGCCAUAAGCAUUACUGAAUGCAAGGGCUGGGGCAAAGAUGUAGAUAACCAAUAUGUAAUACCAUUUUAGUUCGGGAAAUAUACGCGGAACGGUGGCUGUGGAGAUGGCAGCAAUUGCGACAUAGCCUGCAACAGCAAACCAUGUUGGAAUUUGAUCUAUGAGAAAGAGUUGGGUGCGACGUUGCUCAUCAUAGGAGAUCCUAGAUGUCUUGGGAGAGGAACGGUCAGCAAUAGGCAGAGCACCAGUUGCAUCUCUCCCACGAAGUUGAAAAAACAAUGCAGCGAGUGUUCUGCUUAGAACCUUGAAGUUGUAUAGACCGUCACCCAAGAUCAAGGCAGUGGCAAUAAAUACCUGUGUUCAGUGCAUAAGCAUUGGUAUGAAAGAAAAGGCUUCAAGAAAAUGUUAAAAAUCAUGUAAUUGGCAUUCUUGUCACCUUAACCUUGUUAGAAAACUUACCUUGUAACCUUGGAGACCAUGUAAGCUGCCUGGUUUGAGGUCUGCUGGAUACCAGUCACCCCUUUUUGUAUCUAUGAGAGGCCACAUGAGACCCCAGGAAAGAAUUCCUCCUAGAAAAACUGAUAUGUUUAUGAUGUAGGGGCAAAUCAUUCCAACUCCAACAUAUGUUGCUGAGAAAUCAAAGAAAAAUCUGUACAUGUAACAAGAACAUUAUUAGUCAAAGAUACCACAACGAAUUUGAAACAGAAUGCCAUAAUAAAUGGAACUACAUUCAACAAGAAGAGAGGAUUUUGGAAGGUUGAGAAAUGCUUUUACUUUUUUCAUGUGCUUUAAGACCAAGUGAGGGGAACUCAGCUAAUCCACAACCAUCUCCUGCAGUGUAGAACCAUUGAAAGAAACCCCACAAGAAGCUGAAUGAGAAGAACUUGCCCAACACUCUCACUUGUUUCCUGUAGCAGUAGAAUAACAAAGUUCAAUACUCUUACAUGUCAAAUGAUCAUCCAACUAUAAGUGCAUGAGGUCUGAUAAUGCCUUACUUUGCUAGCUUGGCUCCUGCAGGAGUGUGGAAGCUGUUGAUGAGAUGAGCAGUUGCAGUGCCACUUGGAUAUGUCAAUUUGAAGUCUAUAAUCAUGACCUGGAAAUAACAAGGGAAACAAUGAGGAUUAAUUUUUGGAAAAUCUAUACAUUCGGCAAAAAUGUAAAAUGCAGAGAGAAGUUCUCUAUUUCCUAUACGAAAUUGAAUGGCGAUGUAGGUUGUAAAGUCUACCUUUCAAAGAGGCACCGCCGAAAAGAGCCCAAGAAAGCUAACAACAAACAAGAAGCCAAUCAUCCAAGACAGAGAUGGAUUUUUAAAGGCAUCACCAUCUUCAGUUAAUUGUUUGGCCACGGUUUCACUCAUUCCAAACAGAUAACUCCCAAAGCCUCCUAUUAUAAGGAAACAAGGAAAAAAUUAUAGAAUGGAAACCAUUAGUACAAAAAUCAACAAGUUUAAUAUCAUCAUAAGCAUAAUCACAAAUUAACCGUUUCAUUACAAUAAUUAAUUCAGUUUCGAAACAAGUUUGGCAAGUAUUCAGGCUUUUCUUGACUAUUUGGAUAAGUUAGAAAUAUAAUGUAUUCAUCUUGACAUUAUGUUAAUGAUUCACAGUUAAAGAAAAGGUUUGAUUAAUAACUCAAGCUCACAACUAGCAUUCUAGAAACAGAUAUUAUUCACAUUUUCCUUUCUUUUACUAAUGGAGAAGACUUCUUUUUCCACAAAUCAGAAUAUUGUUAUAAGACUUCCUGACAUAAAUCUGAACUUAGUAAGUCAUCCAUAUCCAGCGCAUAUGAAUUGAAUUGUCAAAAAAGUAUCUGUCAAGUGACAUACCAGCUGCACCCCUAACAUUAUCACACUCCAGGAGACAGAGAUAGAUUUGUUCAUGUCUCUAAUGGUAAGUUCAAGUGUUGAUUAGUUUAGUAAAACUUCACAAGUGGUAGUCAUAAAGCCUCAAUUUUGAUUUGUCUCUCAAAGACUUUAGGCAGUAAGAGAUUCUUUGUCUUCAAGGAUCAUGCAAAUCUACUCACAUCUGAGAUAAAAGGGAUCCAGAGAGAGAAAAAUGGUUGCCUUAUCAUGUAAUCUAGCAAUUAGAAGAUGGAAAUCUUGACAUUGAAUUUUAGUAACUACUGUAAGUUUGCAAUCUUUAAGAACAGAAACAAAACCAAAUGCACAGAAAUAUUAAUAUCUUGAUAAAAGAAACCUAGAUAUCUCCUCAACUUCGAAAGAAAACAGAAAAAAAAAUUGAAUUUCAAAAUAAUUAAGAGAGAUGAAAUGAAAAUUAAUGGCAGUAAACAGUACGGAAAGUAUACCACUAAAGGCAAUGCCAGAGGAGGCAACCACGCAAGUCUGUAUUACAGUGUUCUCUUGCCUCGUAAAGGGUUGCUUCACAAGGCCAGACUUUUCAAGAAACUUUUCCAGGUCUUGAUAAAAAAGAAGCCCAGAAGGCCAGCAGAGACAUUGAGGGAAGGUAUGAUACCAGUUGUAAGAUUGAGCUUCAUUACUAUGACGCAGAACAAAACGCUCAGCACGAAGCUCAGCACAAAGGCCCUCAGUGUCAGCUGAUUCCUCCAUGAUGGCACUUCUUGGAUCUCAAAUAUUCUUUCCACUUACAACUCUUCUUCUUGUUCCUCUUUCUUGUCCUUCUUUCUGUGACCAUGAUCAUCCUCCAAAUUAUAACCAUUCUCUACCUUGGUAUCGUCUCUUUCAUUACGUUCCAUUUUAUUUUCUUAAAUAAGUGGUUGUGAUUAUUGCUCAACACAUCACAGGCGAAUUGAAGACGAUGAAUAUGAGAAGGAGUUAAAACGGGUUGCUGUGGUGAGUUUUAAAUUUUAAUCUGUCUGGUUUUUUUUUUUUUUUUUUAAGAUUUAAUUUUAAAUUAAUUUCAUUUAAUAUUUUUGAAUUGUUUUGAAAUGUUAAAAUUAAAAAUAAAUUUUAAAAUAUAAAAAAUAUAUUAUUUUAAUAUUUUUUUUGAAUGAAGUGUAUUUUGAAAAAUAAUUAAUAUUAUAUUUUUAGACACCUUUAAAAUAAGAUUUUAAUGACAUGUGUAUGAGUUGGUGUGUGUGUGCCUAUAUUAUUUUUUAUUUUUUGGUUGAAAAUAAAAAAGUUUAAUUUCAAAUAAAAAAAUAAACUUCUAAAAAGGAAUGUUUUAAGUAAGUUACCGAAUGGCCACUGAAUGUAGAAGACGAGAAGUCAAUAGUCAAUUUCCAAAAAUUAAAAAAAAAAAAAAGAUGAUCAUUACACUUCCGACAUAUUUGUUACAUACAGCUUUUAUCGUCUUCCUCGACGCAUCUGAUAUUUUUUCCAUCUUUUUUCUUUUCUCGUGUUGGAUAACUAAGUCUGGCAUGGUUUUAUUGUGAGACUGAUAACAACUAGAAGGCCAUUCCAAUGCCACAUUGGACCACCUGAUAUGAUCAUAGCUAGCAAAAUGAGCAAACCUGAUACCAAAUAUAGCAACUGAUCAUAACAGCUCACAAAGGGUACUGUGAUUUUCACUUUUCACAUUGCAUGAUGCAUCUGUUCUACUAUCUUCUUCAAACUAGACAAGAAAAAAAACUACAUGCAUAUAUAAGUGAAUGGACAUUUGAUUUUCUUCUCCAUAAAUGAUUAUAGAGAAAAUAGUUGUUGGCUCCACGAAAGAGCAGGUGAUUGAUUUUCAACUUCGACUUUAUGACCCUAAGAACGCAUCGACCUUAGCAUUUGUUCCCCUUGACAAAAACUUCAUACAAAUGGGAGGUUUUACUCCUACUAGAGCAAGUAUCGCACUAGGCAAAGUCCAUAUCCCAUCCCCGCAAAUCAAACCAGAAGCCACUGCUGGCCCAAAAGCAUCUGCCUUUGCCUUGUCAAUCUUUUCCCAGAUAAAUAGAAUCAAGCUUCCCACACACAUGUCGAUGGCAAAGUAUGAGCCAAUAUAGAAAGGUAUAGCCAUCGCCAUUGGAUUGGGAAUGAACCUAGCCCAUUUCUUACCCAAUGCAUCCUUCAUUAAAUUUAUGAGAAUAGCUGCACUGAAGAACCCAUAGCAAAGAUAGAGGCAAUUCUUUGGUAGAGACGAGAAUCCGUCUACCCCCAAUAUAGCCAUGUUUCGAAAUACAGUAGCAUUAGGAGCAGGGUAUUGACUUCCAGGAGUCCCAAGAUCCUUGAAGGCCUUGAAAAACAGCCAAAAGACACAAGGUGAAAUAACGCAACCCAUUGCAGUGCCAAUUAGUUGGCUCACAAACAUGGACCGUGGUGAAGAAAGGGUUAGAUAACCAGUCUUGAAAUCUUGAGAGAGGUCGGAGGCUGUGGAGACGAUAUUCAUCAUGACUCCACAGGCCGCUAGUCCUGCAAGAACUCCACCAUGAGAGGCACCAGCCCAUGCUCCAAUUACAAAAAUUGCGAGCUUCCCAUAGGUGGAAGCAAGGGACCAGUCA
rnacentral:lncRNA from 1 species